rfam:Triticum urartu cultivar G1812 contig133710, whole genome shotgun sequence.
CUUGUACUCCCUUCGUUCGAAAUUACUUGCUGUAAAAAUGGAUGUAUCUAGACAUAUUUUAGUUCUAGAUACAUCCAUUUUUGUCCAUUUCUAACGACAAGUAAUUUGGGACAGAGGGAGUACUAA